CUUUGCUGAGGUGCAGUCAAGUCUAAGAGUGUCUGGAGUCCUAGGAGGCCUCAAGUCAAGUCUGCAGCCACAAGCUACAAGUCUACAACUGACGAGGGUAUCUGUCACGUUUACCUUCUCACCGGGCAUCAGUCACCUGUAAAAAGACACAGGAUCCAUGCAGAAUCAAUCUAUGGGGACGGCAAUGCAUCCGUGGAACCUCCGACAAUAAUUAUUCCGGCUGGGAAUUCCUCAGUGUGAACCUUGCCCUCUAUGUUUUUGUGGGGGGUGGGGUUGAUGUUUGAAAAUUUUUUUUUGAUCACCCAAUGUUUUUUUAAAGGGGUACUGCCGUCACACCCCCUCCCAUAGACUUGCCUUGAGGGGGCAGGGCAUGACGUCGUGAGGGGGCAUGGCUAUUACAUCACGAGCUCCCGACACCGACUCCAAAUUUUUUUCUUUUUUCUUAAUUUCAUAUUUGAUGCAAAAAAUGUUUUUAAAGGGAUGUUUUUCUUAAGGCUGAGUUUUACUUUUUUUUUUUUUAGAUAUUUUAUUAGCCUUGUUUUUCUUCUUAUCAGUUUUUAAAUAUUCCCAUUAAGGGAUUUAAAGCAGCCAUCUUUCGAUAGCUCAUAUAUUUAUAGACUGCAGUAUAUAGACAGUGUCUUUCAUAUGCCUCCCGUUAUUAUUCUAAAAGACAAUGUAUGGUUAUGGUAUUGUCAAGGGUUUUGUUGUGGGUUUUUUUAAAACAUUUUUUCUUUUAUUUUUUUUAAUAUGUUUUUUAAGGGUGUUCUAAUUAGUUCUAUUAACUUAUCCCAUGAGAGGGCUUUCACCAGCAGUCUACUGAUCGCCCAUAUAAUACAUUGCACUAGUUUUACAGUGCAGUGUAUUAUGGCUGUCAGCAUUAUGUUGACCGCCAAUAUUUAAUUAUGGCUAAUGUGAGGGGAGGGUUGGGUUACUUUUUAUCUUUUGUGGGUCAUUUUUAAUCUUUUUCUUUUUUAUAUAUAUAUAUACAUUUUUGUAGGGGUUGGGGUUAAUUAUUUUAUAAAUUGUUUAUUUUUAACUUUUUUUUAAAGAUAGGAUCCAUGCAGAAUACAUUGCCAUCCAUGGGGAUGGCAAUGCACCCGUGGAACCUCCGCCAAUAAUUAUUCUGGCUGGAAAUUCCUCAGUAUGAACCUAGCCUUUAAUUUAAAGGGACUUUUAAAAGCGAUCUUUAGAUCGCUCAAAUAAUACAGUGCAUUAGUAUUAUGCCCUUCAGCAUUAUUUAGUCUUUGGCUAUAAUUAUAUAUUUAAGUGCAAAAAAAAAUAUAGAUUUUUUUUUUACUUAGUACAGCUAAGUCUUAAAUCUGCAGUUAGUCAGCCCACAGUCUAAAGUAAAUUUGUAAACUGCAGUCAUUUCAAUCUAUUCUAUUAAAUAUCGAAAAAGGGAAUUCCUACAAAUAAAAAAUCUGAGAAUAAGGAUAAUAAAUGUUCCUAAUCUCUGUACCUGAGAUAUAGUUGUGUUAUAUAAGAAGCUGUCUAUAGACGAUAUACUUAUUAACAACACAUAUAUCUUCAUGUAUAAGGGAGAGACUAUGACAUCUCUGCAGGUCUAGAUUUUACAUCUAACCUGAUUGUUAUCAG